UGUUCUGACUUCUGGUGAAGUGUUUUGGCCUCUGCUUUAUUUCCCCCUGCCUAGUUUUCCCAAGACCUGCUAGCAGAGGAAGAAUCUGCAGCCUGCAGUGUUGAUUCUGAGAAGUCUGUAGGAAAGAGAGCCAUGCUGGAUGAUAUGACUCACCUUGGAGAAGCUGAUGCUUUCUUGCUGAGUAGAAACACUAUCUCUGCUGAUUUGAACAUCCCUGUGUGGCCCAGAGGAAAAGAAAAACAAAGACAAGAUGAGAAAACCAGCAUCUUUUGCAUCCUUCUUAAUAUUAAUGAUUUCUCUUAAACUUUUCAAACUGUUGAAGGCAAAAAGUGAGAGGAAAAACUUUCACAUGGGUGAUAUCCAAACCCAGCAGUUUCUCAAUGAGUAUUUGUAGUAUACCGGUAACUUCCUUUAGCAGUACUCAUCAUGCACAAACAAAAGCCCAUCUCUGGCGCCCUUAGGCAUCACAGAAUAUCAGGAGCUGGAUGGGACCUCUACAGAUCACACAGGAGUCUGCACAGCAGUGACUUUUGUGAUAAGAAGCAGAUUUCUGCCCUGCCUGAUGUGAUGUCAUCUUGCCCUAGGAAUGUAUGACCCCAGCACAAAACUUUACCAACACUUGGGAAGUUUGGAGAAGUUAAAUCAGAGUGGGAGCAGUGAAUCCGGAGAAAAGGUCUUUGGAGCGGUAGGCAAAGGUCUGCACAAAGGGAGACGAUGAGAAGAAAGCAGAGCCUUAGAUAAAGCUGGAGUGAACAUCUGUCAUUUUCCUCAGGAUUUAUAAGAGCAAAGUGACUGCUGCAAAAAGCUUCUUGGUGUGCACACUGGAAAAACAGGAGUACAAAAGCACAAACCCUCUUGCCUCAGUACCAGUUAGGGGUUGACCUGCUGAAAAACAGCUCUGCAGAGAAGGACCUGGGAGUGCUGAUGAAGUCCAUCAUGAGUCAGUGAUGUGCCCUUGUGACUGAGAAGGCUGAUGGUAUUCUGGGCUGCAUGAAGAAAAGUGUGGCCAGCAGCUGGAGGGAGGUUCUCCUCCCCCUCUACUCUCCCUUGGCAUGUUUCUGGUGGAACUGACUCCUGCCCUGGAGAAGGGGGUGAUCCAGAGGAUCUUCAGGUACAUAGCUGACUUGACAUUAUUUCAUUUGGGUGAUUUGCUUUACAAAUGACUGCAACAAAAGGUUUCCAGGAGAAGAUCCCAGUGUCAUCCUCCAGCAGGUCUGAGAGUGCUUUUCUUCAGGGAAUCUCUAUUUUCAAGGACUUUUCUUCAGAAAAGAAAGGGCUGCUUGAACACUUUAACCUGCAAGUCUCAGCAGAGCCUCAGGAAACCUUCCAGAAGUGUGCUCCUGGUCAGACUGGAUUUCAUGCACGGAGAAGUCCUUCUGUGAUACAUUUUGGAGGGACAACAACAGAGUCUGGAUAAGGAUCUAAGUUUUGAGCUGUUUGUCUGAAGCAAGGCUGAGUGCCUGCCCGUAACUGCCUGCACAGCAUUCAUCUUUGGAUUAAUGCUUUGGCCUGUGUGGUGAGACUUGUAUGAGUCUCUGCAUAUUCAUGGUGGCUAUGGUAGAAAUGAGGACUCCUUUCUGACCCCCCCGAAGGGUUGAGCAGCUGCAUCCCAGGCAUCUGAAUGAAGCAAAGGUGGAAGGAAGUGGGAAGAACAGCACCUGGGCAACUUUAAGGAUUGAGAGACCACAGUUGCUUACAAAGUCUCAAGCUGCAUUCAUGAACUGUUCAAACAUGGCCUGAGGGUCAGGAAGACAUCAAGCCAAAGUUUUUUUUCAGGUGGUUUUGAGGUUUGAGGUGAAUGUUGCACUGCUCUGGUACAAUCCUGAUGGGUGGGGUGUGGGCAAACUGUGAACAGGAUUUAUUUGCUUUAAAUGCAUCAGUAUGUUGCUGAACAGGAGGGUGAUUAUAGGGCAGCUUUACAGUAGGGAUAAAUGUUUUUCUGCCUAAUAAAUACAAUGAAAUAUCUGUUUGUUAGCAUUAGGAUAUAGAAAAUAAUAAGGAAAGAAGGAAAAUAUGGGUUUCUAUUUCCCACUAAUCUGGUGUAAAUAGAGUGUCACCAAUUAUUUGCAUAGCAAACAAAGAGUUGUAAAGGCUUAGAGGGAAAUGACUUAAUUCACUACUCAUGUAAUUUCAUCUUUAUUAUUUAGAAGCUAAUUUCAGACCAGCCAUUUUUUAAAAGUGUGGUUUAAAGAGAUUAAAAAAAUCCCAAGAACUAGAGUUUAAACAACCAAAUAGUUAUUCUGGUUUGGCUUUUGCAUUUAGUUUUGUGUAAGACCUCUCACCAAUAGCCUCCAGCCUCUGCUAAUCAGAAUAAGUCAUAGCAGGAUAAGCAAAUACCUAUAGUAGAUUUGUAUGGUAGAUGUUUCCCUAUAGAUUUCUGCUUCCCAAAAUAUAGUAUUUGUAUGGCAGGCUUAAAAUCUGUUUCUAAAAUUAAGAUAGUAUUUUAAUUAUAACAGUAAGAAAAGAUUUAAUUAGAACAAAUUAUUCUUUCAUAUACUUAUUUAUUUGCUUUUCAUAUAACCUUCAUGUGUGCCUUCUGUCCUAGAAGCUGCCCAGAGGAGACUUUGCAUUUUAAUGCAAAGUUUUCCAAGGGAAUGUAAAAUGUAGUUGAAAAAAAUACAAUUUUUUUUUUGAACUGACAACAAAAAAAAUCCUCCUGAGAAUGUAAAAUUAAAUCUUUUCCCUAAUCAGUUUCACGUGGAAAUUUUUAAGCACUUCUGGUUUCAAAAAUUGCAGCUUGCUGUUACCACUCUGGAAACAUCCUGAUGGAUUAUUUGACCUCCCUCCCUUUCUCCUUCCCUUCCCCUCUCCCUCCCUUUCUCACUCCCUUCCUCUCAUUCCCUUCUUCCCUUUCUCUUUCCCUCACUCCCUCCUUUUCUCAUUCCUUCCCUCCUUUUCUUAUUCCCUCCCUUUCUCCCGUCCUCCCUCCCUUCUUCUCUCCCUUUCUCCCUUCCUCCUUCCCUUUCCCCCUUCCUCCCUCCCUUUCUUAUUCCCUCUCUUCCUCCCUCCCUUCCUCCCCUCCCCUUCCUUCCUUGUUACCUCCUUGUCUCACAUCUCUCCUGUAAGCAGUAACUGCAUCCAAGUCUCUACCUCUUCUUUCUGGCUGGUUGCUCCAGAUUUUUCCUGUGUUGCUGUGAUUUUGGAAGAAAUCUAAAAAGCUGUGAAGAUCCUCAAAUGAAAAGUUUAAUGUAAAAGAAAAAAGGUUAUUGCUAUCAAGGCAUUAUGAUAUUAAAACAGAAGUUCUUUUCUUUGUGAUAA